rnacentral:rRNA from 1 species
GAUGAACGCUGGCGGCGUGCUUAACACAUGCAAGUCGAGCGAAGCACUUAAGUUUGAUUCUUCGGAUGAAGACUUUUGUGACUGAGCGGCGGACGGGUGAGUAACGCGUGGGUAACCUGCCUCAUACAGGGGGAUAACAGUUAGAAAUGACUGCUAAUACCGCAUAAGACCACGGUACCGCAUGGUACAGUGGUAAAAACUCCGGUGGUAUGAGAUGGACCCGCGUCUGAUUAGGUAGUUGGUGGGGUAACGGCCUACCAAGCCGACGAUCAGUAGCCGACCUGAGAGGGUGACCGGCCACAUUGGGACUGAGACACGGCCCAGACUCCUACGGGAGGCAGCAGUGGGGAAUAUUGCACAAUGGAGGAAACUUUGAUGCAGCGACGCCGCGUGAAGGAUGAAGUAUUUCGGUAUGUAAACUUCUAUCAGCAGGGAAGAAAA